ensembl:snRNA U6 U6 spliceosomal RNA
AUGCUGGCUUCGGCAGCACCUACACUAAAAUUGUAAAGAUAUGGAGAAGAUGAGCAGAGAAUAAAUGCAAAUUUGUGAAGCGUCCCACAUUUUU